rnacentral:rRNA from 1 species
GUGGGGAAUAUUGGACAAUGGGCGAAAGCCUGAUCCAGCCAUGCCGCGUGAGUGAUGAAGGCCUUAGGGUUGUAAAGCUCUUUCAGUAGGGAAGAUAAUGACGGUACCUACAGAAGAAGCCCCGGCUAACUUCGUGCCAGCAGCCGCGGUAAUACGAAGGGGGCUAGCGUUGUUCGGAUUUACUGGGCGUAAAGCGCACGUAGGCGGAUCGUUAAGUCGGGGGUGAAAUCCUGGAGCUCAACUCCAGAACUGCCUUCGAUACUGGCGAUCUUGAGUCCGGAAGAGGUGAGUGGAACUCCUAGUGUAGAGGUGGAAUUCGUAGAUAUUAGGAAGAACACCAGUGGCGAAGGCGGCUCACUGGUCCGGUACUGACGCUGAGGUGCGAAAGCGUGGGGAGCAAACAGGAUUAGAAACCCUUGUAGUCC